GCCAGCCCGCUCAGAACUUAAAGGAAUUGACGGGGCCGCACAAGCGGUGGAGUAUGUGGUUUAAUUCGAUGCAACGCGAAGAACCUUACCUGGUCUUGACAUCCCGGAGACCCUUAGGAAACUAGGGGGUGCUUCCAUCUGGAAGAAUCUGGAGACAGGUGCUGCAUGGCUGUCGUCAGCUCGUGUCGUGAGAUGUUGGGUUAAGUCCCGCAACGAGCGCAACCCUUGCCUUUAGUUGCCAGCAGUUCGGCUGGGCACUCUAAAGGGACUGCCGGUGUUAAACCGGAGGAAGGUGGGGAUGACGUCAAGUCCUCAUGGCCUUUAUGACCAGGGCUACACACGUACUACAAUGGCCGAUACAAAGGGCAGCGACACUGCGAGGUGAAGCCAAUCCCGUAAAAUCGGUCUCAGUCCGGAUUGGAGUCUGCAACUCGACUCCAUGAAGUUGGAAUCGCUAGUAAUCGUGGAUCAGCAUGCCACGGUGAAUACGUUCCCGGGCCUU
rnacentral:rRNA from 1 species